GGAAGAGUCAGUACUUAGAGGAGCUGCCUAUGAGAACCAUUGAGGAGGACAAAAAUGCACUUCUGAGAAGAGGGUGCUUAUCACUGUAACAUUAACAAAUCUGAAUUCUCCUCAACUUGCCUCAGAGUGUUCUCAUGUGUGGUGCUGAUCUGAACUAAGAUCUAGUCCAUGGAAGCCUUUCAUAAGG